rnacentral:rRNA from 1 species
AGCGAACGCUGGCGGCAGGCUUAACACAUGCAAGUCGAGCGGGCAUCUUCGGAUGUCAGCGGCAGACGGGUGAGUAACACGUGGGAACGUACCCUUCGGUUCGGAACAACUCUGGGAAACUGGAGCUAAUACCGGAUGCGCCCUUAUGGGGAAAGGUUUACUGCCGAAGGAUCGGCCCGCGUCUGAUUAGCUAGUUGGUGGGGUAACGGCCUACCAAGGCGACGAUCAGUAGCUGGUCUGAGAGGAUGAUCAGCCACACUGGGACUGAGACACGGCCCAGACUCCUACGGGAGGCAGCAGUGGGGAAUAUUGGACAAUGGGCGCAAGCCUGAUCCAGCCAUGCCGCGUGAGUGAUGAAGGCCUUAGGGUUGUAAAGCUCUUUUGUCCGGGACGAUAAUGACGGUACCGGAAGAAUAAGCCCCGGCUAACUUCGUG